rnacentral:rRNA from 1 species
UACGGGGGGGGCAAGCGUUGUUCGGAAUUACUGGGCGUAAAGGGCUCGUAGGUGGCCAACUAAGUCAGACGUGAAAUCCCUCGGCUUAACCGGGGAACUGCAUCCGAUACUGGAUGGCUUGAAUCCGGGAGAGGGAUGCGGAAUUCCAGGUGUAGCGGUGAAAUGCGUAGAUAUCUGGAGGAACACCGGUGGCGAAGGCGGCAUCCUGGACCGGCAUUGACGCUGAUGAGCGAAAGCCAGGGGAGCAAACGGG